rnacentral:lncRNA from 1 species
GAGAUAUUUGCUUUUCUUUCUUCUGAACAUGAAAUUAUUGGAGAAUUUUCUGACUUUUGGACAAAUGAAUAGAAUACUUAAUUAUCCAAAUUCUCAGCUUAAGUGAUUAUGUCUAAAUUAGAGGACCAAUAAUUUUAUCUGUAUCACAUAAUUUAGAAGUGAUGAUCAUUGACAUCCUUCUCUCUAUCCCCUCAUAAUUUUGAUAGACAUUUAUAUCUGCCAGCAUAAUUUUAUUUCAAUUACUAACAAGGGUUUUGCCAAGUUUACUCAUUCUUUCAAAGAAGAGAAUAUAAUGAGACACCACUUGAAGACCCAUGUUAGAAAAAUAGAGAGGAAUAAUUAGAACAACUUCUAUUGCUAUUUCCAGGGGAAGAAAAGUCAAUGUUCUGAGGAUCCUUGCUACAUAACAUGAUGAGACUGCAGUGAUUUGUGGUAGGUUGAAAUUGAGAUAGCUUGAUUUGAGAACUCCUGAGUUCCAGAGAUUUGUAUAAAAAAUACAAUUUGGGAUGAAAACAAGCCUAUAUUAUUUAUGCUUAUUUAUAUUAGAUAUUUAACUUUGUUAUUUUCCUUAUUUAGUGAGCUCUAUUAUAAGAGUUGAUACAUUGUUUCAGACCCGGUAUUGUCUGUUGUUACUAGAAUCAGGACUGAGUUGUGAUUUUAAUUAUGUACCAUAUGCUCACACAUACAUGUUUAUACAUACACACACAGUCUUAAACAGUCUUAAAAAUAUGGGAAAACUUUUUAAAAAUCUUUUAGAUUUUGUACCACUCAGCACAUAGGCAGUCACCACUCAGGACAUAAGCAAUCACAUAAGCUUAAAUGCAUGGAAACCCAGCCAGCACCACCCCCUGACUCAAUACACUGCUCAAGUUUAUGGAAUGGGACUUCAACACCUCCAGGGGCUUUAAAUAACAUCUUUUAUUUAAAGGGCCCUGCUAAAUUCAACACAGAGCACAGACACAGUCCAUCUGUAAUAACCAACAGUAGAUCGGAGAGGACAGGACAGAGAGAACUGUGUGUUUUAGCAAGAGAAUUAUGGACAGUUGCAUAGGCUGGUACACAGCUUUGUCCCCUUCCUGCUCAUGACUCUCUCCUUCUCAUUUUUAUAUAAAAUCCUUCUUACCUUCUUAUACUCUCAAACCCUGGGAGGCCUGGGACUUUUUUCCUUCUGUACUUAGCUGAUGAAUUUCACUCAGACCCACACAUAACAUUUUAAGUUAUGUAUUUCUGAUGUCCAGAUGUGUAGCUCCAGCUGGAUCUCUUCCUUGAAUUGCAGUUUUUUUCUCAACCGCCUAUUCCAGGGCUCCUGCUGAGUCAAUAAUGCUUUACAUAUCUCAAGCAGGGGCCACCAACCACCACUUUGCUCUCCCCUUUCCUUCCUCCUGGGCAGUAUAUAGUACCACCAUUUGCCCAGUUGUUCAGGAAAAAGCCAGGGCAUUAUCCCUGACUACUUUUCCUCUCUCCUCACAUUCAAUCCAUAAUCAAGUCUGCAAUCUUGUCCUUAAAGUCUUCAUCAUUAAUACUCAUAUUGAAAUA